GGGGGAGGGGAGGAACCUCCUAAAUAAAAUAAAUUGGUACUGAUAGAAAGUCAGGCGAUUGUCACUAUUGGGAAGAACCUGAACUUGACAUCUGAAGGCCUGGUAACCCUGAAAAAUGGAGAAUGGGAAAAGAUGCUGAAAUGAAUAUACAGAGUGGGCACAGGGACUAACAAGAAGGAUUUCUGCUGGGAAAUCAGUAGAGUUGUACAACGGUGUGUUAUGCUGCUACUAAAGCACCGGUAAUCCUGGGUUCCCAUUUGGUACAGAAAAUUCAGAAGGGGCGGUGGCAGGAAUUGUUUGCCUUCAGGGGUGGUGGUUCUCGCAUGGAAUACUGGGGUGAGGAUCUGAAUGUCCCUGUGCAGAAGGUAGGGAUUUGGGCUGGUGUAGGGACUGUGCUGCCUUAGUGGUGGAAAUGUAGAUACUGCUGUGUAUGUGUAUUGGUGUGACUGGGAAAUCUUUCAGGAAUGUGAAGAAAUAUUAAAUCUUAAGAGCAGAUCAGGCACAGGAACAAGCAAUAUGAACAAGCCAUUAAUAAAUCUACGGAAAGGAAAACUAUUGAGCUACUUCAAACCCAGUUACUUCUCCACUGAGAGUUUUGAGAGUAGCGAGGCAAGCCAAGGUUCAGUUAUGAUGGGGUAAGAGCUUGCAAUAGCUGUCAUUGGACUCGAUGACUGGGAAAGUCCUUUCGGUUCUGUUACUGUGUGUUUUGCUCUGACAGCCAGAUACCUAUCAGCUGAUGAAGACUCUUGAUCAUCACUUCCAAUGUUAUUUAUACCCUGCAUAAUAAUAAUGACCUUUUUUAUUAUUAUUAUUUCCUUAUAUGGUGAAUGAUGUUGAAGUGAUAACUCCUUGUUUACAACACUGAUAAUAGCUGGUGUUUUUUCAGUUUCACUCUCUAGGAAAAUCUGCAUCUUGGCUCUACAAGUGUAUUAGCGCACUCUUAGAAGACUUCUAGGGCUAAGCAAUGGCUGUUCACUUUAGAGAAUGUUUUAAGCAAAUUUCCCAGCUUUCCAGUGAUAAUUUAUCAAAUCAAAGGACUGGACAAAAAAGGGAUAACUUUAUCCCUUUCAUGGAUACUUUCCAAAUUAAACGUUUUUACGUGUAAUGAUUUUAAACUUUCCAAAGAACCUAGAUGUUAGUUUGCUUGCAAAUUUAGCAGUAGCUUACAGAAUGUAUUUAUUCAUAUGCUACCACAUGUAGAUGUUAAAACUGAUCACAUACUUGUAUAACUCUAAUAUUAAUAUUGAUUAUUAUCAAGUUAUGCCAGAAAGAGAACAGUGUUCAUGAUCAUGAGGGCUCCCAUGGGUGUCCUUGGGCUGGUGCUGCGAAUGGAUGAAAUGUGGGGAUGGAGUGGAUCUCUGGCAAGUACUGCUACUUUUUCAAACUUUUAACCUUGCAGUAAAACCAAAAUUAUACUCUUUACUGCAAAAGUAGUGUUAUUUUCUUGAGAUGGUAAAAGUGUAUUUCAGGGGAAAAUAUUCCCUCCCUACCCCAAAUAUUUUUGGUUCAAAAUUUGUGGCUGUAUCAGAAUAAUUGGGCAUUUGGUAAGUGACUUUAGCCAUUAAUUUUAGCAGUCCCUGUUUAUUUGGACAGGAAAGAGAUUCCUGAAGCAAUUUUUUUUCUUCCCUUAGGAUGAAAAAGGGUAUGCACAGAGGUUCUUAGAAUAUCACAUCAAAUAUAGAAUGGAUUUCUGAAUUAAAGCAGCUCCUCAUUUUUAGCUAAUCCUUGACCUCAGCUGACAAGAGAUGAGGCUGAAUCUGUUCCUUGCUCUCCAGCGCCCGUCUCUCCCUUGCGGGCUCACUAUUAGUAACUGUACAGCAAGUAUGACUAAAAUCCCCAUCCCUGGAGCAUUCCCUGGCACUUCUGGCACAGCUUCUCCUUCGACAUCCGAGGUGUGAGUUUGCUUCUGUUACCACAAACUGGGUAGCCCUGUAGGAAGAGAGAAAGGCAUGGAGGAGGGGAGAGCGAAACGAGAAGAGUUAAAAAACAGUGAAGGUGGGGCUUGAGAGAAAAGUACUUCAUGGGGAGUGAAAUGACAGAGCUGGAUUCUUGAUCUCACCCAGGUUUCUUGUUCACUCAUCAUCUUGCAGCUCCCACCAUAGGCUUUCCUUUCCGUCCUUUCCAUGAAUGUGGUGGUGUACUGGCUUUCACCUGCAAAGUGAAACGUCUGGCACCCCUGGUGCCACCAUCUGCUGUAGCUGCCUUCUCUCUGUGAGCCAGCAGAACCCAUCACUUGAGCGGGUGUAUUCAACUGUGUAGUUUUAGCACAUUGCCUAAGAAGGCUUUUCUUUACAAAAAUUGUUUCAGAACUUCUUCCUCUGUAGCAGAGGAGUCGGGAGGUUCUGCACAAAAUGGUGGCACGGUUUGCACAGGCACUUCUCGUUACUGCUUUAAUACGUAGUGUUGUGGAAAAUUGAAUCAUUGGUAUUUCUUCUUUAUUCAGGGAAUAAGUGAUGGAGUCACUUGAGGACCUUUGUGUCAUGAAAAUUACUCUUUCACAGUUCUGAAGCUUUACUUUGUACUGGUGUGAAUGUUUCAUAGGGAACAGCAGAAUACAUUUUCAACAUGUGUAAUAAAUACCAAACCCAGUUUUGGUCACAAGCCUUUUCUGUUUCAUUUUCCAGUCAGAAUAAGAUUCCAUUAUAUUGGGUUUAGUUGUAGAAAAAUAUGUCGGUAUUCAAAAUCAGGCUGUAUAGGCAGUAGAAAGAGGAUAUCGUUUUUAAUCAUCAGCAUUUCUGCACUUUACAUCUUGGCACCUUUCAAUAGGAAGACACACAAGGACUUCUACCUUUCUGCUGAGGCGUGGUUCUGCUGAACCACCUGAGAAGUUUCUCUGCCAAUGUGGGGCAUCUGCUCCCUUACAGAAACCAUCCAGUUUUGGUUUAUUGUAUAUAAAUUUAUACUUGGCAGCUGUUGAGGAGCUCACUGGAACAAUGGCCAUAGUGGCAAUUAAGAAAAAAAAAAAAAGGAAAAAAAACCCCAACGAAAAACCACCCAGCUUAAUUUAUUCCCCAAAUGUCCUUCACCAAGAAAUCAUAAUGUCAGUUUUUAGUGAAAUUAGUUCAUGCCCUACUUCUGGUUGUGCAUUCAAUUAUUCCAAUGGUAAGAAGACACAACCCUAAUGGGUCAGCUUACAAUUUCCUUGAAAUAUAUUGUAUGGUUUUAAUUAAUAUGCCAAUAAGAGGAACUAUGUGGUCUUUAUUUUAUCUCUUACUGAAACUUGAAUGCAUUCAAGGCUUCUGCUGCAAUUGGCUUCCUCGGGGAGGUGCAGGAGGAGUUGUAUCCCCUCUGGCCUUCAUAAAUCACAUUGGGUUUGGUGUCUUUUUGGGGUAUGGGGUGAAAUAUUUCAGUUCUGUGAAGCCUAUCUACUUGCACUUUUCCCUCCCUCCUCCCCCAAACUAGAUGCCACAGUUUCCAUAAUGCAGCCCUUCUUUUUUUUUACUGCUUGCUUUGAACAACGAAGUGGGUGAUCUGUAGCUACUGGGCAUAAUGAUUAAUUCUUUAGCUAUCAUCUCAGGGGGCUCUGAAAUUUAGGUCUUUCAAGUUUAUGAGCCCCAUCUCUAACAGAGACUUGGUCUGGGGUAACCAUGCAAGCUUCCAGAAAGAUAACACGAGGUGUAAAUUAAAUUCUCUUAAGAACUGGCACUCAAGUAAAUGGAAGUAUCCACAAAGGCUGAUGCCUACUUUUGUUCACAUUUGUUUUGCUGCCUCUGUGUAAUUUGCUUUCUGUAUACUUGCUAAAAGCAAACCCAAUUGAGAUUGUGUGAUGGCAUAUGGAAGAGGCCU